CAAAGGAUAUUUCCACAGAACAUAGUUGGGUCACGGCCGCUGUUCACCAAACCACUCUGCUCCCCUUCUCCUUUCAUCCUUCAAACCUCUUCUGGGAAUUCAUUAACAUCAAGUGGGAAUUUCUAGCCAUCAACGAAAGCAUCGCAAUCCUUGUGUACAUGGUGGAAAAUUGCAGCCAGGAUAGCAUAUCCCACCAUUGGUGGGACAGGGAUUGCACCAUUAUCAAAGAAAUAAAUGAUUCAUAUAAGCAAUGGGCUGAUAUCCUCAGGAAUGGUACUCUGAAAAUUCACCCUGUGCAGAUAAAGGAUGCUGGGAUAUAUCAAGCAACCAUAUUAAGCUCAGGUGCAAGAAAACACACAGCAAUUGUAAAUCUUACAGUAACUCAAGGUUCAGGAGCCUUGAGAAAAUUUAACACAGAGAAUAUGGUUCGAAUGGUCUUGGCCUGCCUUAUCUUCUGCUUUCUUGGACUAGUGGUGAUGGAGCAUAUUUGCAAUUUGGGAUGUUAGCAGCAGCGCUCAAGGAAUAAAGGCUAUGGGUUCCCCAGGCAGAUUCCCUCUUGACUCACACAGACAUGUCAACCAUGGUCCAUCAUCAACCCCUUUCAUAGAAUGAGAAGUACUACAGUGGUAUAUCAACUGGAAGUGAAGAAAUGUCCAUGAUGUAUUUAGCUGACUUCUCAUCAUCAAAUCACCUUGCCGAGACUAUUGUGUAACUGACUGAAGCUACACCAGCAUAGGUGUAUGAGAUUUCUCUGAAAUCCAAGUUUUAUGAAUGUGGAUAUAAUAUGAACUUACUGGCACUGGGUAUUAAUCCAUUAUGGUUUUAUUAGUUUUUUAAACUUGUGACAUGUUUUCAUGGAAUGAUAGUUGUUUGUCUAUGUGUGGACACUGUUGUUUUUUCUUAAGUGUGAUGUAUUUAUGGGAAAUGAUAUUACUCUGUAAAUCUCUGUCUGUAACUAGAUAGGCAAGUAGACAUGUGUUUAUAUUGCAUUGUUUCUGAUUGUUUGCUUUAG